rnacentral:tRNA from 1 species
AAAAUAUAAAGUUUCUCACUUUUUUUAGAA